rnacentral:lncRNA from 10 species
CGGGGUUUCACCUUGUUAGUCAGGCUGGUCUCAAACUCCUGACAUGGUGAUCCGCCCUCCUCGGCCUCCCAAAAUGCUGAGAUUACAGACAUGAGCCACCGCGCCCUGCCACAAGUGUGUUCUAAGACAUGCUGUAAUACUGAUGCCCACCCCCAACUCCUUCAAAAAUAGGAGACAAGAGCCAUCAUAGGUCUUCCUAGGCCAAAGAACAUGCUGCAAGACAUCACUCCUCCAAGAACACGGGGAUUUGGGGAAGAAAGGACUGGUCCUCCCCUAGACGGUUUCUGCCUGCUACAGCGUCCAUCUCAUCAACAAUGGAAAAACUGAACCCAAAGCAGCCACAGGACUCUGCAAGCCUGAGCACAGCUGUGUCCAAGAGGAGAUAUCCUCGCCAUCACUUGUGGACUUCCCUGCUGCAGGAGAGCCAGAGGCCAGUGUCUAUGCUGGCCAGUGUCCUAUCAAACUCAGCUACUUCCCACUCCUUAGAGGUGGAGAGAGUGAACAGCGACGGGAGACAACUCAGAAACAAAGAGCCAGCAUUUCCAAUGGCUGGACCUUUGUCAGCUCUCUAAGGACCCAAAUGUUGAAAGAGAUGGACCACAGAAAGGGCCUCUGAAUCUGCAGGCCAGAACAGAGAAGUGGUAGCAUUUGGAAUGAUUUUCAAUUGUUAAACCAGCCUUGCAUUCUUGGAAUAAUUCCAACUUGGUUGUAAUGUAUUUUCCUUUUAAUAUGUUACUAGAUUCUGGUUGCUCACAUUUUGUUAAGAACUUUUGUACCUAAGUUCAUGAGGAAGAUAAAAAAUAAUUUUGUUGUAAUGUCUUUGUCAGUUUUAUUAUUAAGGCUAUUUAACCUCAUGCCAGGUUGAGAACAUGUUGGAAAAUGUACAUGAUUCUUCUUUUUUAUGCAUGAUGCAAUUUAAGCUCACUUCUCUACAGUCCUUUUUUCUCUGAGGUCUUGGCUUCACAAAUCCUGACUGCCUUAACAGCCUUAAAUUCCAAUUUUAUGUUUACCUCAGCUGUAAGCCUUUGGUCUCUGCUCUGUGACAUACAUCAUUAAGCACCCUGAGGAGAAAUGUGGUGGCCACCAUAGAGCUCACGUCUAUCUGUUCCUUUUCUUUCAGGAUCUUGGCCACUCAAAUCUUGGCUGCCUUUCAACAGCUUUUUAAAAUCUAGUUUUUUAUCGUUGUUCCUGGCAGGCACGAGUUAUUUAUCAUAACCAAAAUAGGAAGUCUAAUCUUCAUCUUUAAAGUUGACAUCAGAUUGGACCAUCUCUCAUUGUUCCUUCCUUGGUAAUAGAAUAUUGGGAUAGCAGUACCCACAAGAACGACUUCGUGGUAUAAGGCAAAGAUAUGAAGCAGUGAUUGCAUGAAGAGCAUCUGUAGCCAAGCCUGGGCUUGGAUUUCAGCUCUGCUACACCUAGACGUGUGAGUUUGAGAACUUUUCUACACUUCAGUACACACAUUAUAAUACGGAAUAACAACAGUAUCUACCUCAUAGGCUUAUUGGGAAGACUAGACCUAGUGAAAUAAUAUAUCUGAAAUAGGUACUCUGUGCCUUAAACGGGGUGAUAAAAUAAAGUGCUGG